GUGUCAGCCGCCGCGGUAAUACGAAGGGGGCUAGCGUUGUUCGGAAUCACUGGGCGUAAAGGGCGCGUAGGCGGCUUUAUAAGUCGGGGGUGAAAGCCUGUGGCUCAACCACAGAAUUGCCUUCGAUACUGUAUGGCUUGAGACCGGAAGAGGUAAGUGGAACUGCGAGUGUAGAGGUGAAAUUCGUAGAUAUUCGCAAGAACACCAGUGGCGAAGGCGGCUUACUGGUCCGGUUCUGACGCUGAGGCGCGAAAGCGUGGGGAGCAAACAGGAUUAGAAACCCUAGUAGUCC
rnacentral:rRNA from 1 species